rnacentral:piRNA from 2 species
AUUUCUGGUUGGAAUGGUGACAACA